AUUUAUAUAGUUUAAUAAAAACAUUAUAUUUUCAAUAUAAAAAUAGGAUUCCUUAUAAAUU
rnacentral:tRNA from 1 species